rnacentral:rRNA from 1 species
AGAGUUUGAUCAUGGCUCAGGACGAACGCUGGCGGCGUGCUUAACACAUGCAAGUUGAACGGGUCAUAUAUGAAGGGUAACCGGAGUGUAUGGCUAGUGGCGAACGGGUGAGUAAUGCAUGAGAACGUAUCCUCAAGAGGGGGACAACAUUGGGAAACCGAUGCUAAUACCCCAUAAGCCGGGAGGUAAAAGGAGCAAUCCGCUUGAGGAGCGGCUCAUGUCCUAUCAGCUGGUUGGCGAGGUAACGGCUCACCAAGGCGAAGACGGGUAGCCGGCCUGAGAGGGUGAACGGCCACACUGGAACUGAGAGACGGUCCAGACUCCUACGGGAGGCAGCAGUGGGGAAUAUUGGGCAAUGGGGGAAACCCUGACCCAGCGACGCCGCGUGAGGGAAGAAGGCCUUAGGGUCGUAAACCUCUGUUGUGUGGGAAGAAGAGCGUGACGGUACCACACGAGGAAGUCCCGGCUAACUACUUGCCAGCAGCCGCGGUAAUACGUAGGGGACGAGCGUUGUCCGGAUUUACUGGGCGUAAAGGGCGCGUAGGCGGUCAUUUAAGUCAGCUGUGAAAUGGUUUGGCUUAACCGGAUCAUGCGGUUGAAACUGGAUGACUGGAGUGCUGGAGAGGCAAGUGGAAUUCCCAGUGUAGCGGUGAAAUGCGUAGAUAUUGGGAGGAACACCGGUGGCGAAGGCGACUUGCUGGCCAGCAACUGACGCUGAGGCGCGAAAGCCAGGGGAGCAAACGGGAUUAGAUACCCCGGUAGUCCUGGCCGUAAACGAUGAAUGCUAGGUGUGGGCAUCGAGAGGUGUCCGUGCCGGAGCUAACGCGAUAAGCAUUCCGCCUGGGGAGUACGAUCGCAAGAUUGAAACUCAAAUGAAUUGACGG